UACGUAGGCAGCAAGCGUUGUUCGGAGUUACUGGGCGUAAAGGGUGUGUAGGCGGUUUUUUAAGUUUGGUGUGAAAUCUCCCGGCUCAACUGGGAGGGUGCGCCGAAUACUGAAAGACUAGAGUGCGGGAGAGGAAAGUGGAAUUCCUGGUGUAGCGGUGAAGUGCGCAGAUAUCGGGAAGAACACCCGUGGCGAAGGCGGCUCUCUGGAACGCAACUGACGCUGAGACGCGAAAGCGUGGGGAGCAAACAGG
rnacentral:rRNA from 1 species